rnacentral:rRNA from 1 species
GGUUAAGCGACUAAGCGUACACGGUGGAUGCCCUGGCAGUCAGAGGCGAUGAAGGGCGUGCUAAUCUGCGAUAAGCGCCGGUAAGGUGAUAUGAACCGUUAUAACCGGCGAUACCCGAAUGGGGAAACCCAGUGUGAUUCGUCACACUAUCAUUAACUGAAUCCAUAGGUUAAUGAGGCGAACCGGGGGAACUGAAACAUCUAAGUACCCCGAGGAAAAGAAAUCAACCGAGAUUCCCCCAGUAGCGGCGAGCGAACGGGGAGGAGCCCAGAGCCUGAAUCAGCAUGUGUGUUAGUGGAAGCGUCUGGAAAGGCGCGCGAUACAGGGUGACAGCCCCGUACACAAAAGCGCAUGUGUUGUGAGCUCGAUGAGUAGGGCGGGACACGUGGUAUCCUGUCUGAAUAUGGGGGGACCAUCCUCCAAGGCUAAAUACUCCUGACUGACCGAUAGUGAACCAGUACCGUGAGGGAAAGGCGAAAAGAACCCCGGCGAGGGGAGUGAAAAAGAACCUGAAACCGUGUACGUACAAGCAGUGGGAGCACAGGUUUACCUGUGUGACUGCGUACCUUUUGUAUAAUGGGUCAGCGACUUAUAUUCUGUAGCAAGGUUAACCGUAUAGGGGAGCCGGAGGGAAACCGAGUCUUAACCGGGCGUUAAGUUGCAGGGUAUAGACCCGAAACCCGGUGAUCUAGCCAUGGGCAGGUUGAAGGUUGGGUAACACUAACUGGAGGACCGAACCGACUAAUGUUGAAAAAUUAGCGGAUGACCUGUGGCUGGGGGUGAAAGGCCAAUCAAACCGGGAGAUAGCUGGUUCUCCCCGAAAGCUAUUUAGGUAGCGCCUCGUGAAUUCAUCUCCGGGGGUAGAGCACUGUUUCGGCUAGGGGGCCAUCCCGGCUUACCAACCCGAUGCAAACUGCGAAUACCGGAGAAUGUUAUCACGGGAGACACACGGCGGGUGCUAACGUCCGUCGUGAAGAGGGAAACAACCCAGACCGCCAGCUAAGGUCCCAAAGUCAUGGUUAAGUGGGAAACGAUGUGGGAAGGCCCAGACAGCCAGGAUGUUGGCUUAGAAGCAGCCAUCAUUUAAAGAAAGCGUAAUAGCUCACUGGUCGAGUCGGCCUGCGCGGAAGAUGUAACGGGGCUAAACCAU